UUUAUACUCCUCCAUAGUCAUCUGUCCAAGUUUCCACUUCUUGUAAGCUUCCUUUUUGUGUUUAAGCUCACCAGAGAUUUCUCUGUUAAGCCAAGCUGGUCGCCUGCCAUAUUUGCUAUUCUUUAUGCACCUUGGAAUGGUUUGUUCCUAUGCCCUCAGUAAGGCUUCUUUUAAAAAACAGCU